rnacentral:rRNA from 1 species
GUCUUCUUGUUAUAUUUAGGAAGUCUGGCCUGCCCAGUGAAAAUAAUUUAACGGCCGCGGUAUACUGACCGUGCAAAGGUAGCAUAAUCAUUAGUCUUUUAAUAGAGGGCUGGUAUGAAGGGUUUAACGAGGUGUUGACUGUCUCAUUUAAUUUGAACUUAGAACUUAAUUUUUUAGUUAAAAAGCUAAAAUUUUAUUGGAAGACGAGAAGACCCUAUAGAGCUUUAUAUUUUUACUAUUAAUUUAUUAUAGAUUAUUAUUAUUUAUUAUUGGUAUAAAAUAUUUUGUUGGGGUGACAAAAAUAUAUAAAUAACUUUUUUAUUUCAUUUACAUUGCUAUAUGAAUAUUAGAUCCAAUCUUAUUGAUUGUUAGAUUAAGUUACCUUAGGGAUAACAGCGUAAUCCCUCUCCAGAGUUCAUAUUUACAGAGGGGCUUGCGACCUCGAUGUUGGAUUAAGAUAAUAAUUAGGUGUAGCCGCUUAAUUAAUAGGUCUGUUCGACCUUUAAAUUCUU